rnacentral:rRNA from 1 species
GUNAGGGGGNACCUGAGCAGCGAUGCCGCGUGAGUGAAGAAGGCCUUUGGGUUGUAAAGCUCUUUCGUCGGGGAAGAAAAUGACUGUACCCGAAUAAGAAGGUCCGGCUAACUUCGUGCCAGCAGCCGCGGUAAUACGAAGGGACCUAGCGUAGUUCGGAAUUACUGGGCUUAAAGAGCACGUAGGUGGUUAAAAAAGUUGGUGGUGAAAUCCCAAGAGCUUAACUCUGGAACUGCCAUCAAAACUUUUUAGCUAGAGUAUGAUAGAGGAAAGUAGAAUUUCUAGUGUAGAGGUGAAAUUCGUAGAUAUUAGAAAGAAUACCAAUUGCGAAGGCAGCUUUCUGGAUCAUUACUGACACUGAGGUGCGAAAGCAUGGGUAGCGAAGAGGAUUAGAUACCCUCGUAGUCCAUGCUGUAAACGAUGUGUGCUAGACGUUGGAAAUUUAUUUUCAGUGUCGCAGCAAAAGCGUUAAGCACACCGCCUGGGGAGUACGACCGCAAGGUUAAAACUCAAAUGAAUUGACGGGGACCCGCACAAGCAGUGGAGCAUGUGGUUUAAUUCGAAGAUACGCGCAGAACCUUACCAACACUUGACAUGUUCGUCGCGACUUUAAGAGAUUAAAGUUUUCGGUUCGGCCGGACGAAACACAGGUGCUGCAUGGCUGUCGUCAGCUCGUGUCGUGAGAUGUUGGGUUAAGUCCCGCAACGAGCGCAACCCUUACUUUUAGUUGCCACCAUUUAGUUGAGCACUCUGAAAGAACUGCCAGUGAUAAGCUGGAGGAAGGUGG